ensembl:lincRNA
UCUCUCUCUCUCUCUCUCUCUCUCUCUCUCACACACACACAGUAUAGCAACGUUUGGUGAGGCAUAGCUCUCCCCACCUCCCUCCCCUUCUUUGCUCUUCCCCCUCCCUAGCUUCCCCUGCCUCCUCUCUCCUCCCUCUCUUCAUCUCUUCCUCUCUCUCUCCUUCACCUCCUUCCUAUCCCCCCCCACCCCCCUUAACACCCCCAUCAGCGAAGCGAUAGGUUGUAUUUGCUCGUGCACAAUAAUCGUCUUAAUAUCUCACCUGCAGAAAUGUGAAACAAUAACCAGAAAUACUCGAUUCUCUCUACAGCCUGAGAGAAUAUAUCAACAUGAAAUGCAAGAUGAGGCACACAGGGCUGUCGGGGCAGUUUCGUUUGGCUACGGAGUACAAUCCUGGAUGGGUCACCACUCUGAUGAAGGAUACUUUAAUGGCUUACCAGGAAGCUGAUACUCAUUUUGCUGACCUUGGAAGGAUGACAGGCUGAGUCAACCCACCUGGUGUUAUUUCAACGGCGGAACAGGAAUGUGGUUUAUCAAGUCUGAAAAUUAAUCAUUUGCUUUGCAAAUGGGGCUUUCCACGACCUUGACAGUCAGAAGGAGAAAAUGUGCUGGUGACAUGAUGUGUUUAUCGGAGGAGGUUGUGGCCUCGGUCAUACGUGGGGGUGCUCAAGGUCCACCAAAAACCGCCUUCUGGUCAGGUCAGGUAUGGGAGCAUGCACCGGAGCAGCGCGUCGCUGCGUCUACUUUCUGCCAGUACUCCAGGGGCCUCCGUCUGACCGUCCCCCAGGCAGACGCCUGGCCCAUCCCCAUCUCCAGGUCUUCAAAACAUCUUUUCACCACCAUUUCUUAUCUUUCCCUAUCCAAAACCACAAUCUUUUCUACCCCCGCUAAUCCACCCCAAACCCACCUCCUUAAAAUUCCCUGUUUUCCUUCCUGAACGUACCUGUAGUACAAUCUUGUUUACCUCGUGUUCCCUGCCCCCAUCCCUCUCCCUUCCACAGAUAUCCUAUUGUCUUUGUUCCCCACUAUGUUGUGCUUCCCUCUCCUGCCCCUCUUGUCUUCUGCCUUGUAAUAUGUUUUUGUGUAUUAGCUCUUACACGAACCUCGACAUGGUAUACAAAAAAACACAACAAAAGAAAAACCUUCAUUGUGAUCCUCAUGAAAGGGUUUUUCCGUCUCAUCUCUCGUAUCAUGUGUUGAACAAAUACCCUCAUUCUUUACUGGAAAACAUCUGCACCAAAGAGUGAGAACAUUUGGAAUGGCAAUGGUGCUGAACGGGAAUCGGCUGACAAUCAAUGAAAUACCAAAGAAAUCCCCAACAAUAGGAAAAUCCCCCAAAUUUGUUUUUGCUGAAAACGACCAACACUUUGGGUGAGUAUGUUCAGCACAUGUUAGCUGGCAUUUGUGAAGAUGACUGUUAUCUCCCUUAUGUUUUUUAAGAUGACUGCUUACUUGUUCCUGUAAGCAACAAUUAAUAGUUGAAAGUAUGCAACAGUGAUCAUUGUCUCCCCAUUCUCCUAUCAAGAUUGUUUCUUCAUUUUUGGAAAGGAGAAGGGUGUUAACGUUUCCAUUUGGUUUCUUCGUUGUCAGUUAUCGUUAACUCAGGCUUACAAGUUGUUAGGGAGCAGUUCAGGAAAUAUUGUUUAGCAAUUGAGAGGAAUUCUGGUAUUGACACUUUCUGGAGCAUUAAUUUUUCCUUGGAGUUCUUCGAUAGGAUUUGAUGCCUCAAUAUCAAGUCAGUUGAAGUUUUUGAUUUUUCAACUUUAUAUACAAAUUUGGAUUUAGUACUAGUGAGGGAUUCGGAGGGGGGGAUGCCUCAAUAUCAAGUCAGUUGAAGUUUUUGAUUUUUCAACUUUAUAUACAAAUUUGGAUUUAGUACUAGUGAGGGAUUCAUUGUUUAAUGUAAUUGACAAGGUUUUUUAAACUCUUUUAAUAACUUUCUGUGUGUCAGGUUUGUAUUGAUGGAGCAUUAUUUUCGAAAAAGAAAUAUUCAAAUUUUCAUUGUUUUGAUCAGCAGAAGUUUAAGGAUGCUGUCAAUUUUAUUUUGUUUAACACUUUUGUGUCUUUUUAGAGGAUAAUGUUUCAACAGGUUAAGGGAAUUCUCAUGGGUGGGAAUUGCAGCCCCCUACUCGCAAAUAUUUUUCUUAUUUUCUGUGAAUUUUCAUUUAUACAGAAACUGAUGAAGGGGAAAAAAAAUUUGAAUUGGCUAAAAUAAUAUUUCAUACAUGUCGUUAUAUAGAUGGUUUUGUGUGGAUAACUAUAUUUUUUUUUUGAUAGGCAGCUUCACAAGAUUCAUCCAGAUAGUCUGAUUGCAAACAGAAGUGGUAAUGAUUGUACAGUUGCUCCAUAUCUGGAUGUGCUGGUUAGAGUUGGGCAGAAUGGUUUUCGUUUGAGUGUAUAUCAUAAAGUUGAUGAUUUCAGUUUCCCUGCAGUCUUGUACACCUUUCCAGGUAGCAAUGUACCAAUUAAAAUCGGUUAAAAUGUCUUUUAAUCUCAGCUACUUAGAUUUGCAAGAAUUUGUUCAGUAAAGGAUGAUUUUGUGGAACAUGCUGAGAACGUUUUUUCCAAUCAUGUUAAACAGAGGAUAUUUGGCUGAUUGCUUGAUCAUGUCUUGUGAGAAUGUCUUUAGACUCCAUCGUCACCUUUUAUUGAAGUUUGGUUUUCAUUUAAGCAAGUUCCCAUUGCAUUGCAUUUGAUAUAAUAAUCAUUAAUUAAUUUAUAUUAUUGGUUAAACACAUAUAUAUAUAUUUUUUUUUUUUAAAGAAGGUAUUUAGAUUUAAAAAAAUAAAAUAAAUAAAUAAAUAUUAUUUUAAAAUACAAUAUAAAGAAGCAUUAAUAUAAUUUAUUCAUGGUUGCGAGGAUAUGCAAUGCAGCAUGUUACAAUCGGUUGUUAAUGACAGUUUGACUAUUUGAAUGACCGUUUGAGUCUGUGGUUAGAUGGAGGUGGUGUGUAAUGGACAAUGGACAUAUCUGCAAGGUAAAGUGUUUAUCGCUUAAUAUAUUAUCAUAUAAAGUGGUGUAUGAUUAAAGUUAUUCAUAUGCAGUAAUACUUUAAAUAAAAGUAAUAAAUAAAUAAGUUUGAAUAUGGAUAUUGCAUUGCUGUGUUGAUUGACUGUCUGGACACAACUUUGGGUUGUAGGUCCAUUGAUGUUGAGUAAUCUACUGAUAUCAAUCUGCGACUGGGGUUGUGGAUCUGCCGUUUGGAGAGGUUCUGGGCUGAAAGGAUCAAAACCUCGAUAAAAACUGUGCCCACACGAUCGGGCAGUUGGGAAAAUCAGUAAAUUACUUAUAAGUUAAGGUUAUAACUUCAAAUAAAAUAGCUUUUGUACGUACUUACCAGUAUAGUGUGUGUGUGUGUGUGUGUGUGUGUGUGUGUGUGUGUGUGUGUGUGU